UUGCAGCAGCUUCGCUACCCCCACGGCCA
rnacentral:sRNA from 1 species